rnacentral:rRNA from 1 species
AGUACCGUGAGGGAAAGGUGAAAAGAACCCCGGGAGGGGAGUGAAAUAGAACCUGAAACUAUGUGCUUACAAGCGGUCAGAGCCCGCAAGGGUGAUGGCGUGCCUUUUGGAGAAUGAUCCUGCGAGUUACGUUCAGUGGCAAGGUUAAGUUUAACGGAGCCGAAGGGAAACCGAGUCUGAACAGGGCGAUUUUAGUCGCUGGGCGUAGACGCGAAACCUGGUGAUCUAAGCCUGUCCAGGGUGAAGCUGUGGUAAGACACAGUGGAGGCCCGAACUCACCGCCGUUGAAAAGUUGGGAGAUGAGGUAGGUUUAGGGGUGAAAAGCCAAUCGAACUAGGAGAUAGCUCGUUCUCUCCGAAAUGCAUUUAGGUGCAGCCUUGAGUGUUUAAUUAUGGGGGUAGAGCACUGAAUGGACUAGGGGGCGCAUUGCUUACUGAAUCCAAUCAAACUCCGAAUACCAUAAUUCAAGAGCUCAGGAGUGAGACUAUGGGAAUUAACUUCCAUUGUCAAAAGGGAAACAACCCAGACCACCAGCUAAGGUCCCUAAUCAUAACUAAGUGGGAAAGGAGGUGGAGAUUCAUAAACAACCAGGAGGUUGGCUUAGAAGCAGCCAUACCUUUAAAGAGUGCGUAAUAGCUCACUGGUCGAGAGUCUCUGCGCCGACAAUGUAACGGGGCUAAGUUAUGAACCGAAGCUGUGGAAUUGCGCAAGCAAUUGGUAGGAGAGCGUUCUGUAGGCCGUUGAAGGAGAAGCGUAAGCAACUCUGGAGGUAUCAGAAGUGAGAAUGCAGGAAUAAGUAGCGAGAAGGGAGGCGAGAAUCCUCCCCGCCGGAAGACCAAGGUUUUCAGGGUAAAGCUUGUCUUCCCUGAGUAAGCCGGGACCUAAGCCGAGGCUAUAGUGCGUAGGCGAAUGGAAAACAGAUUAAUAUUUCUGUGCCAGUCAUAUUUUGUGAUGGAGGGACGCAGAAGGGUAUGUACGCGGAAGAACGGUAGUUUCCGUAAAAGCAUGUAGAAUGACUUGAUAGGUAAAUCCGUCAAGUUAGAUUUGAGGUGUGAUAUAUAGUCGUAAGAUGAAUGUACAAAUCCCACGCUGCCGAGAAAAGCUUCUAACGUUAAGGUAUGACUGCCCGUACCCGAAACCGACACAGGUGGUCAGGAUGAGAAAUCUAAGGCGGACAGGCUAACUCUCGUUAAGGAACUCUGCAAAAUUGCCCCGUAACUUCGGGAGAAGGGGUGCCCCUGAGUGUGAGCAUACACGCGAUGUUAAGCGCUUGGGGGUCGCAGUGAAGAGGCUCAAGCAACUGUUUAACAAAAACACAGGUCUAUGCUAAGCUGUAAGGCGAUGUAUAUGGGCUGACACCUGCCCAGUGCCGGAAGGUUAAGAGGAGGAGUGAGAGCUCCGAAUUGAAGCCCCGGUGAACGGCGGCCGUAACUAUAACGGUCCUAAGGUAGCGAAAUUCCUUGUCGGGUAAG